CAGUCGCCACGGUAAUACGGAGGGUGCAAGCGUUAAUCGGAAUUACUGGGCGUAAAGCGCACGCAGGCGGUUUGUUAAGUCAGUUGUGAAAUCCCCAAGCUUAACUUGGGAACUGCAUUUGAAACUGGCAAGCUAGAGUCUUGUAGAGGGGGGUAGAAUUCCAGGUGUAGCGGUGAAAUGCGUAGAGAUCUGGAGGAAUACCGGUGGCGAAGGCGGCCCCCUGGACAAAGACUGACGCUCAGGUGCGAAAGCGUGGGGAGCAAACAGGAUUAGAUACCCCGGUAGUCCCUGUCUCUUAUAC
rnacentral:rRNA from 1 species